rnacentral:tRNA from 1 species
AGUAAAAUACCUUAUCUAAAGGGCCACCUUGAUGCGGCGGACAUGUCUAUUACUUUUACUG